rnacentral:rRNA from 1 species
AUUGAACGCUGGCGGCAGGCCUAACACAUGCAAGUCGAGCGGAUGAAGGGAGCUUGCUCCUGGAUUCAGCGGCGGACGGGUGAGUAAUGCCUAGGAAUCUGCCUGGUAGUGGGGGAUAACGUCCGGAAACGGGCGCUAAUACCGCAUACGUCCUGAGGGAGAAAGUGGGGGAUCUUCGGACCUCACGCUAUCAGAUGAGCCUAGGUCGGAUUAGCUAGUUGGUGGGGUAAAGGCCUACCAAGGCGACGAUCCGUAACUGGUCUGAGAGGAUGAUCAGUCACAAUGGAACUGAGACACGGUCCAGACUCCUACGGGAGGCAGCAGUGGGGAAUAUUGGACAAUGGGCGAAAGCCUGAUCCAGCCAUGCCGCGUGUGUGAAGAAGGUCCUCGGAUUGUAAAGCACUUUAAGUUGGGAGGAAGGGCAGUAAGUUAAUACCUUGCUGUUUUGACGUUACCAACAGAAUAAGCACCGGCUAACUUCGUG